rnacentral:tRNA from 1 species
GCGGGGAUAAACCGGAUAGGCGACGACAGACGCGCCAGCGUCUUUUGUGUUCCCCGCGCCAGCGGGGAUAAACCGACUCAUAAUCGCUUGGUCGCUGGUUCAAGUCCGUGUUCCCCGCGCCA